CCUACGUGUGGCUGCAGUAGGGAAUUUUCGUCAAUGGGCGCAAGCCUGAACGAGCAAUGCCGCGUGAACGAGGAAGGUCUUCGGAUCGUAAAGUUCUGUUGAAGGGGAAAAAGAGCGGAGAGAGGAAAUGCUUUCUGAUUGAUAUUACACUUAGAGGAAGUCACGGCUAACUACGUGACAGCAGCCGCGGUAAUACGUAGGUGGCGAGCGUUAUCCGGAAUGAUGGGGCGGUAAGGGUGCGUAGGCGGCCUGCUAAGUCUGGAGUGAAAGGUACCGGCUCAACCGGUACAGGCCCUGGAAACUGGCGGGCUAGAGAGCAAGAGAGGGCGGUGGAACUCCAUGUGUAGCGGUAAAAUGCGUAGAUAUAUGGAAGAACAUCAGUGGCGAAGGCGGCCGCCUGGCCUGUUAACUGACGCUGAGGCACGAAAGCGUGGGGAGCAAAUAGGAUUAGAUACCCUUGUAGUC
rnacentral:rRNA from 1 species